rnacentral:lncRNA from 1 species
GAUGUCAGCUUUAUGACAGGUGUACAACCCGUCCUGUACUGUCCUGACUCGGGGUGAGGGCUGGAAUGGGGGGGGGGUGGCGGACAGCAAUGAUACCAGAAAUAGCUUUCGCCUUUAAGUCAAGCCAUUUCCGUGUGGGGCAGAUUGCUGAGGGUUUCGAGAUCUUCAACACUGCUUUUGGUGCACAUGGGGGUGGAGGUAGGCUUGGGGAAACAGGUUCGAUCCAAGAACCGAGGGUUAAAGCGCAGACGAGCCUAGUGGCAGCUUGUGACCAAGAGAGGGCGCCUGGAACACCUAGGCCUGUUCCCACCUCCUGCCCAGCCCCUUUCCUACUGCUCUCCCCACCCGCCAACAGCACACGCCAUUCUCCUGCGGAAGACCACGCACAUUUUCAGGUACCACCCUGGACUCUCGACUCUCUCUCUCUGCGUCUCCACUCA